rnacentral:rRNA from 1 species
ACCUGCGGAGGGAUCAUUAAAGAGUUUUUACAACUCCCAAACCCCUGUGAACAUACCUUCUGUUGCCUCGGCAGGCCCUGGCCUACCCUGUAGCGCCCCUACAUUGUAGGGCCUGCUUUAGGGGGGGCGCUGGGGGAACCUGCCGGCGGCCCGCAAAACUCUGUUUAGCAUUGAAUUCUGAACGUAUAACUAAAUAAGUUAAAACUUUCAACAACGGAUCUCUUGGUUCUGGCAUCGAUGAAGAACGCAGCGAAAUGCGAUAAGUAAUGUGAAUUGCAGAAUUCAGUGAAUCAUCGAAUCUUUGAACGCACAUUGCGCCCAUUAGUAUUCUAGUGGGCAUGCCUGUUCGAGCGUCAUUUCAACCCUUAAGCCCCUGUUGCUUAGCGUUGGGAGCCUACGGAAGCGUAGCUCCCUAAAGUUAGUGGCGUGGUCGGUUCACACUCCAGACGUAGUAGAUUUUCACCUCGCCUGUAGCUGGACCGGUCCCCUGCCGUAAAACACCCCAAUUUUUAAAGGUUGACCUCGGAUCAGGUAGGAAUACCCGCUGAACUUAAGCAUAUCAUAGCCCGGAGGAA